rnacentral:tRNA from 1 species
UGGUGUGGCUCAAUGGCAGAGCAGCUGAUUUGUAAUCAGCAGGUUGAUGGUUCGACUCCG